rnacentral:rRNA from 1 species
ACUCCUACGGGAGGCAGCAGUGGGGAAUAUUGCACAAUGGGCGCAAGCCUGAUGCAGCCAUGCCGCGUGUAUGAAGAAGGCCUUCGGGUUGUAAAGUACUUUCAGCAGUGAGGAAGGUGGGUAUGUUAAUAGCAUAUUCAUUUGACGUUAGCUGCAGAAGAAGCACCGGCUAACUCCGUGCCAGCAGCCGCGGUAAUACGGAGGGUGCGAGCGUUAAUCGGAAUUACUGGGCGUAAAGCGCAUGCAGGUGGUUUGUUAAGUCAGAUGUGAAAGCCCGGGGCUCAACCUCGGAAUUGCAUUUGAAACUGGCAAACUAGAGUACUGUAGAGGGGGUAGAAUUUCAGGUGUAGCGGUGAAAUGCGUAGAGAUCUGAAGGAAUACCGGUGGCGAAGGCGGCCCCCUGGACAGAUACUGACACUCAGAUGCGAAAGCUGGGGAGCAAACAGGAUUAGAUACCCUGGUAGGACAGUG